GUGACCAAUAUUUCAAACAUUUCUUUUCCAGAAUUUCCAAUUUGGGCAUCUGCAAUUAUUGCCAUUAUUGGUAUUGCUGCGCUGAUACUUGUUGUCUUUCUCAUCAUAUGUUACGUUAGAAAGAAACGAACAUCAAGAGCGGCAAGUCAAGAAUCAAAGGACGACGACUUGAUGGAAUCGAAACCAACUGUGUAUGCAAUGCCAAUGAAGAAGCGAGCGGUGAUAUCACCUUUUAUUAGAGAGUCUGCAAUUGUAACAGUAGAAGAGCAGCCAUCAAUGGUCCUAGUAAACUUGCAUGCAUUGGUCUCUUCAGCAACUAACCCAACCGAAUGUCCUCUUUACUCAAAUUUGUCUCAAGCUGAGACCAAUAUGGCCUCUCAGUUAAUUCAAACAAGCAAAUUAUUCUAAUGCACACAAACUAGUCACAAUAAAAUCGUUCUUAAAACCAAUUUCGGAUACAAACAUUUGAAUCCCUUGGCAAUAAACAGUAGACAAAAAAUAGGCAAGUGAUGUCUACCAGACUUCUGCAGUUUAGCUAGUAAGAGUGCGUUACCGUACGUAUUGAAAUCAAUAGUUGGGUAAACAAAGAUAAAAUAAUUUACGUCAAUUAAAAUAUUCCUAUAUAUGACGUCACAAACGUCAAGGUCAACAGCACUGUACGCAAAUUAGCGUUUACAAUUACCUUCUCAUCAUGUAACUGUUUGUUACAAUUCAAGCAAAUUGUCGAUCCUAUUUCAUUUUAGGGCGUCAAGCCAGACGGUUCUGAGUUACUUUCCGAGAAAGAUGAACAAACAAUGUAUGCCACACCAGUAAAGACUACAACGGCAAAUUCACAGUCCGAAAUUGAGUACGACAAUACGUUAACAGUUACGCAGAAAUCAAGCCAAGAAGGCUAUGACGUGGCAGCUCCUCACAUUACUCAUUCAACUGCCCGUACUCCAAAAUCGAGGCACAACGACAGCGCCGAAGUGUCGUCGAGUUUGCAGUAUGCUGAGUUGCAGUUCGGAAACAACCCGGUGGGCCCGGCAGUUCCAUCUUCUGCUGCUGUCACUUAUACUAGCAUAAAAACAUAACUAUGAAGUUUACUCUUGGCUAAGACGUUUAGCUAACAAGACUUUUGAGUCGGUUCUUUAACGAUUAUGCAAAAUUUGCGUAAUUUUGAAAUACAAAUAAAAUUUAAUGC